rnacentral:piRNA from 1 species
UGUGAAACUCGCCUAAUUCCUUGGCA